rnacentral:lncRNA from 1 species
UUUUGCCUAACUGUUGUCUACUAGUGUAGUGAUCCGCGCGAUGCAGCGAAAAAAAUUAUUUUAAUAAAAAUUUACAAAUUAAAUAAAUAAAUAUGAAUGUAAAGAAGAAAAAAAAUAUAACUAUAUUUGAUUAGACUUAAUAAUAUAAAAAACACAUUAAAAAAUAUUUAAAAUGGAAUCACAACUCAACAAAAAAUAAUAAA